rnacentral:misc_RNA from 1 species
AGGUCCUCCAGCACCCUACACAGAGAAACAGAAGCUCAUUAGAACCGAAAAAGAUACCAAAUACCAUUGUUUUUCAACAAGUCAAACAGACUUGUUGAACAAAAGUCGCCAUGGAACAAAGGCCAUUGUUUCAAAUCAAGAAAAAAUAGAGAAUUUUAAGGAACACCCAGAUCAAAAAUCAAACAAAAAAAUGCUUCUUGAUACCAUGAUCCUCCUGUUUCUAGGCU